rnacentral:tRNA from 1 species
AUUUUAAUAGCUUAUAAAGAGUAUUAUAUUGAAGAUAUAAAGGAGAUUUAAUCUUAAAAUA